rnacentral:rRNA from 1 species
AGAAUCUUUCGCAAUGCCCGAAAGGGUGACGAAGCGACGCCGCGUGUGGGAAGAAGGCCUUCGGGUUGUAAACCACUGUCGGGAGUUAAGAAAUGUAAGGAUGUUAAUAGCGUCCUUACUUGACUAAGGCUCCGGAGGAAGCCACGGCUAACUCUGUGCCAGCAGCCGCGGUAAUACAGAGGCGGCAAGCGUUGUUCGGAAUUAUUGGGCGUAAAGAGCACGUAGGCGGCCUUGAAAGUCAAUUGUGAAAGCCUUCUGCUUAACGGAAGAACAGCAUCUGAUACUACAGGGCUUGAGUGCAGGAGGGGAGAGUGGAACUUCUGGUGGAGCGGUGAAAUGCGUAGAUAUCAGAAGGAACGCCGGCGGCGAAAGCGGCACUCUGGCUCGUAACUGACGCUGAGUGUGCGAAAGCUAGGGGAUCAAACGGGAUUAGAUACCCCGGUAGUCCUAGCCGUAAACGAUGGGCACUAAGUAGAGGGGUUUUGAUUAUCUCUCUGCCGGAGCUAACGCAUUAAGUGCCCCGCCUGGGAAGUACGGCCGCAAGGCUAAAACUCAAAAGAAUUGACGGGGGCUCGCACAAGCGGUGGAGCAUGUGGCUUAAUUCGAUGCAACGCGAAGAACCUUACCGGGGUUUGACAUGGUAGAAGUAGGAACCAGAAACGGUAACGAACGGUAUCCAGUCCGUAACUAUCACAGGUGUUGCAUGGCUG